ACUCCUACGGGAGGCAGCAGUGGGGAAUUUUGGACAAUGGGCGUAAGCCUGAUCCAGCCAUGCCGCGUGCGGGAAGAAGGCCUUCGGGUUGUAAACCGCUUUUGUCAGGGAAGAAAAGUUCUGGGCUAAUACCCCGGGACGAUGACGGUACCUGAAGAAUAAGCACCGGCUAACUACGUGCCAGCAGCCGCGGUAAU
rnacentral:rRNA from 1 species